GCGGAUGUAGCUCAGUUGGCUAGAGCGUCGCCUUGCCAUGGCGAAGGUCGCGAGUUCGAAUCUCGUCAUCCGCUCCA
rnacentral:tRNA from 5 species